GGAAUAUUUAAUCAAAUGUUGGGAGUGGCUUGCUGGGAUGCAUUUAUCAAUUUCUUGCAGAAAGGUGAUCUAUAAUAAUUCUGAGUAUAGCCCGAUGGUAAGAAGUGGUCAAUCAGUAGUGUCUGGGCGUUUCACGAUUCUGAAGAUGAGAGGUAAACAUGGAUAUUUAGAAUGUUUAGAAGUAGGCCCCAAAGAAGUUGUACUGUGUUUCCCUUUCUGGGUUCAUUGUCCAUUCAGCCAGCAGACGAGUACUGGAAAUGGAUGUGCCAUCUGUGAUGGCAUAAAGGGCUGUGAGACGCAGUCCAGGUCCACGAGAAGCUUCCUUGCAGUUAGGCUGUUUUAUAACUGUUCCCAAAUCAUGUUAGCUCUGGAAGCUAUUUUAGGAACUCCUUUGGUUAUGAACCAUAUCUUAUAUUUAAUUUUGAUUCUCCUUCUCCUCUUGUCCUGGAUUCAGUAGGAGCAUCAACAAACAUCGUGUGCCUGGCAUUGUCUUAGGUGUUGGAAGUAUUUAGAAGAAUCAGAGAUUCUUGGUCCAGGCUUGGCUGCCGCUCUGUUUUGCUGCUUUUCAUGUUGUCAGAGGAUCUUCUUGGGAACAAAUGACUCAGCAACCUGAAUCUCUGGGACUGAGUGGCCUAAGCGCCUUUUGAGAAGUGAUUGGACGUAUCCACCUAGACCCUAAAAUUCUGAGUCCGGAAAGGAUGGAGAUCCAGCCUGGUUUACUCUAGAUUCUUCAUGCUGCGGUUCAGUUUGGUUUCUCCAAUUCCUCCCCGAUAGAAGGCUCUCACUCAUGGGGGGAAAAGCUGCAGUUCUGCUCUUGCAACACAAGGAGCAGACUGGAGAAUUUAGAUCUGCGUCACAGAGCUCAGAGAGAGAGAGAGAGGAGAGAGAGAGAGAGCGCUCCGUGGAUAGGUCUGCUAGCAACAGCCGUGCUGCAGCAGAGAGAGAGAGAGAAAUCAAGAAACAAGUCAUAGCAACACCGGGCACCAGGUUCUGCCAGCUCACUUGCCAAGCGUUCAGAAUCUGUCGGGGGGCCGGAGGCCUCUGGGUAGCCUAGUCUAAGGAGAUGACACGCAAGCCGGACCGAGAUUUGGGUCUGCGCAGGCUACGAUGGGUGGUCCGACGGGCUUCGGGACUUGAUGGCGUAACCCCCUUCUUCACCCACGUACGUAUUUGCUGGGAUCGGGGGUGAUGUCUCUGCGUAUGUGGGUGCUCUGUCUUUCUCACCUUCUUUCUCGCUUUUUGCUAUUUUUUCUCUGAGGGAGGGUUUUUUUCCACUUUAAUUUCUUUUUCCUUAGUGUCAGCUGCUCAAGCCUGACCAGGGUAGAGGAGAGAGGAGCAAGCUGUCCCCGUCGUCCCACCUGACCUCCCAGCCUUUACCCCCAUUUUCUUCUGUUGGACAGACAGGCAGACUGCUUUUCCAGGUUGUUUGGGUGUCAGCGUCUGUCUGUCUGUCCAUGCAGUUCUUAGGUGGAAGAGAGUGAGAAGGAGAAGUGCUGAGAGGAAGGCAAGGAGGACAGUUUUCCAAGGGGUGCCUUAUUGAAGUGUUGGGCCCUGGGAAUCUGGGGCUGGUGGGGAGCAGGUGGGCAGGAUGGGGCGUGGGCUGGGAGAAGUGGGGUAAAGCUGGUAGGUUUGUCACUGCGUAGUUGGGAAAAGUGGGGAAUGGUGACGCAGUCACUGUUGGAUCUUGUUAGGAGCUCUUGGGGGACAGGUAGUGAGGCUCCCGGGGUCUAUAGGGCCAGCUGAGAGGGGUUAAGGAUGAGCUGAGAAGGGAAGCUAGCAUUUAGAGAUUAAAUGUCAUCCUUUUGGCGUUGGAAAGUUGUUUACCUUGCGCUCUCUGUGUCUCCAUGUUGGCACCCUUCCAGUUCACAUGUGAUGGCCUUCCUUGUACUGCUGCAUCAUUAACUAAGUGACUGAGCUGGCCUUCCAUUGGCCAGGGGAGGGCUCUCACUCCAGACACCUCCUCUGAUUGGUGGGUGGGCCAAUGGCAGGUGAAAACCUUUUUUUGAUUGGCUGAGGGCAGGGUAUCAAAUCUGAAUUUGCAUUUCACUUGCUUAAAGGGGAGGGGGGGGAGAAGCCCAGCAGCUUUCUAAAAUCUGUUUAGGGGUGUGCGUAUGUUCCUGUGUCUGUACCUGCUUUUGACUGACCAGUCGAAGCCUUUUUUAUCUCAUGCACUAUAAGGAAGAGGAGCUGAGGGUUUCCCAAACUUUUGUUUGGAGGGGCAAGGGUUGGGGAGAUGGGUGCGCAGAGGGUUGACCAAACUGGAAGAGAAUAUUUGUUCUUUAGUUUGUGUCGGAAAAGGGAAUUUUCCAAUCAGCCACACCUCAGUGUUGCGGCAAAAUAAUUCUUGGCUCCCCUGGAAACGCAUGGGCAAGGUAGGGCAGAGCUGCUGCUGCUGAUAUUGCCACCACCCUGGGCUUCCUGCUGACUCUGGGCUACUCCCCGGGGACAAGAGAUUUGCAUUGACGUCCGGGGCUGUCCAAAGCUGAGCCCAGUAUGGAAAGGACCUGCCUUCUGGAAGCUGCUGCUCCCUGGUGCUUGGAAAGGUACCACGCAGGCUCUCUCAUGACGGUUAUUUCACUUAUUCCUUACCACGCCCUGCGAGGAGAGUCCCGUGGCUGGAAAACGCCGUGGGAACAGAGCCGUGAGAACUGGUGGUGGCAGAGUGAGGGUUAACCGGUGAGCCUUCCUGGGAGCCUUUCGAUGCCAGUGUGUCGGGAGCCGGGAGAUGGAGCGCUCAGCCGAGUGGCCAGGACGUUCUGUCAACAUGAAAGCAGCAAAAACAGCUUGUCGGGGCUCGGAGCUGACCCUUAGGCUGGGGUCGUUUUCAGGAAGAGCUUGGCAGAGAAGAAGGCCACUGCUGGACAUCAGGGUGGGGGCGACACCAGAGAACUCAGAGGACUUCAGCUCCAUGAGUAGGUGACAGCCUCCUGGAGACUCAGGCUCAGCUGAGGAUGGUGGUAUGCAGAAGACAGCGUCAUACUGUCGGAUAGAAGGGCCCGUUUGCAUUUAUUUGGAGCAAAAAAAAGGGGACGCCUGGCAGCCUGGUUCUCUGCAGAGCCCUGAAACCAGCAUUCCCAGUGGCAGGAAGAUGGAUGAUCUGGGCUCUGCUUCCGGCACCCCUCCCCCGCUCUGGCUGGAACUUGCGUCAGUCAUGUAAGUAGCUGUGACUCAGCACCCAGCCGGGCCGGGAGGGAGAAGCUGCUGCCUGGCAGGAAGCUUCCCAGCAUUCUGGAUUUGAACACACUGUGGUAGCACUGAACAAGCCAGCAGCAUGAGGCUCCUGGGGGCGAAUAUCUGUUUGUUCUGGGGGUUUGCUUCUGGAUUUCUUAAACAAGUAUUUCUCUCCUUCCCGUUUGCCUCCCAUGUUAUUUUUGGGGUACCGUGCUGGGCAUAGAUAGGGUUCUUAGGACUUUAAAAAGACAGCAUCCUUUAUAAAAUGAAGUGGCAGCUCUCUUUUCCAUCUCCAGCCUGCUCUUUAGCUGAUGGCCCGUGAAUUGUAUUUAACCCUCAGAUCUUUUUGUUUGGCUGGCACAGGGUUGUUUUGGUUUUUGUUAAUGUAUCUGAUUUUGCAUGCCUUUAGACAAAACACAGCCUCUCCAGGUCACUGUACUUCUUUCUGCUGCAUGCUGUCACUGCUUCUCUGUCUUAAGUUUCCGGCCCGAUAUUUGAGCAUGCAGUGACCAGUCUGCCAGCCCCCUUUCUGUUCAGGUGAACACUCCGAGGCCAUUCCCCGGAGGUGCAGGCCGCUGUUCUGAGAGUCUUGGCUGAGCGGGAAUUAAAGCCCCUGUAUUCUGAUUCACUCCGUGGUGACCUUUCCUCCACCGUAAGGUCCCUGCCCAGGCAGAGGAAUGUCCUAGGCAUGAGCAGGUAGGAAAACCUCCAGAUCAGAUGUGGGCCCAGAGAUGGACCGGGGCUGCAGUGGGGCUCCCCAAGCCCUCUUCCUGCAUGGUGGCACCUCCCAGGGCUGACAUGCCCACCCCUCUGGGUGGGUGGUUUUCCUUCCCAGCAACCUACCAAGCCCUUUUCCACUGGCCUGUUUGCAUGGGGCCAUUAGGUCAGGGUGGGAGGAUCGCACCACCUGCCUUUGACAGUGAACCCUCAGUAGCCUGGGGCUUUCCCAGGCUGCCUUCUUACCCAUCUGGGUGCCUUGGGCUCGGUGCUGGGGAGAGCAGGCCCUGCCCAGCCCCCAUCAAAACACCCAGCUACAUCCAACUCGGGAACAAAAACACCAGCCUGUUUCAGGUAAGUGAGUCAUUGCCCAGCUGACUUGGAGAGAGAAGCCUGGUUCUGUUGGGAGGGCUGAGAUCUGAACAGAACCUUUUAUCCAGUGGGAUUGAAAGGGCAGAAGGUUUUGGUACUAAGAUUACUUUCUUCCUCCUCUUCUUUUAGAGUAUUGACAGCGAUGCAUUGUUAAUGAUUUCUUAUCUCUUUUUCCAGAGAGCUAAGAGUAUUUUACAACUCAGGAGCUGGGAGCCCGCAUGCUGGUUCGAGUCCCUUAGUUCUCUCAGUGACAGUUGCUCCUCUGCCCUGUGCAGCCCCUCUCAGCUCUGGGCUGAGGCUUCCUGGGUCACAGGCAAGACAUUAACUAAUCACCUGGAUGACCAAAUGGCAUAAGUGUGUUCUGAAGGAAAAGAACUUGAGGGUGUGAGAGGGCCACCAACCGGAAGCCGGGCUAGCCCGGGGCAAGCUCUCCUGAGGAAGGGGGUGCUGAGCUGAGAGCUCAGGGAGGACUUCCGACGACCUGGGUUACUUGGGGUGGGAGUGGGAGGGUCACAGUUAUGGGAGAGUGGAUGGGGGGUGUUCCAGAAAGAGGGACCAGUGUGUGCAGGAGCCUUCUGGUGGGAGGAGGGAUGCUGUCUGCGUGACUGAAGGAGACCUGCGUGACACCUUAGGAAAGGGUUUUGUGGAUACUGGCAGUUGGAAGUUGCUAAGGAAGAAGGGUUUGACUGAAAUAAGAAGCAGAAAAGCUCAGAAUUACCAAAUGUAGAUCUCCUUGAACCCCUUUGUUUUAUAGGAUUCGAACCCCACAGUAAUGACAUUUAACACUCACUCCUCACCUUAAAACCCUAGCAGUUACCUGGUUAACAGGGCCCAGCUGGUGGCUGCAGGUGUCCUCACUCACAGCCCCUGCGGGCAGAACUGACCCUCAGCUCUCCCACCUGUGGCUGAGGCCUUGCAAAGCCCCACAGGCUCCCGCGCCUGGGGCCAGUGUCAGAAUCACUGAGGAGUCCAGCACAGGCCUUGCGGGGUGGUUCAUCUCAGCGUCUUCCCCACUCCCACAGCCACGCUAUGGAGACCGCAAGCCACCAGAGGUGCAGGACAACAAAACAAGUCACCCCAAACCACCCGGCCCCUUGGAAUUGCAGUCAUGCUCUCAUCUCCGCCCCAGUUUAAUGUGUGUGCAGUGAGUAACAUCCCACGUCCAAGCAGAAAUAUUGCCUAGGAUGCCCCCGCCCCCAGCAGCCUUGCUCUUAGUGAAGUUCAAGAACAGACAGAGAUGAGAGUACAGCUGUGGAGCAGGUGGCAGUGGGCAGAGGGGCAGGAACACAGACUUUGGAGUUAGAUCUAAGAUCUUCCCCAUUCAUUAGUCCUGAGACUCUGGACAAGGUUUUGAACCAUGUUAAGGAUCAGUUUCUUCUGCAAAAAUUGGGAAUGAUACCCGCCUCACAGGACUCUUGUGAGAAUUAAAGAGCACAACUUGGUGUUCAGAGUUUAUUUCCUUCUCUUCCCUAGACAGCACAUGCUGUCACUUCCAGGAGCCAUGAAAAAUAUAAGCCUGUAUCUGGAGGCCUAAGGAAUUGGUAGGAAACGUGAGAGAUACAGACUCUACUGUGUGGCUCUUGUUUGUCUUGGUUGUGGUAUCAGAGGACAGACAGCCAUGUUUCCUUAGCUUCAAACAACCAAAAGAGAUGGGAAAUCAAACUUAAGCACAGUUUGCAAAUCCUAUUUUUAGGAAAUUUUGAAAACAAAACUCAGUUCUUGCGGUAGAGGAUGAUCUACUUAGUACAAUUUUAGGACACCGGAUUUUUGCGUCACACCAGAGGUGAAAUAAGAUUGCCAGUGUUCUGACACUCACAUGGCUGGAAGGAGGAGCCCAUGCUCUUCCUGAAAUGGGCACAUGGAAGAGUUGCUCUGGCCAGGUGAAACUCACCUUUGUGGAGUGGCUGGAGCCUCAUAGGCAGACAGGGUGCUGGUUUCUGAUGAAGUGAGUAAAAUCGGAAAACGCUUUGCAUUUGUGAACUAUUUUACAAAGUAGGCAACACUAAUGUAAAUAUUCACACAUUUUAAUUCAGCUUUGGCCAUUUUAUUUCACCAUCAUAUAUAUAAUAGUUUGUAGGGACUGGUGGUGGCAUUAAACAGAAUUAACUAGGAUUCAUGAGUUUUGUAUUGCUAUUGUCUAUGUGAAGCAUCAGCCGUGACUUCCCUUUUCCUUGAGCAUCACUGUGUAACUCUCCUCUUUGCCUUUCUAACGGAUCGUUAUGUUAUCACGUCACAAGUAGAACUGCAAGAAGACAUUUCUCCUCAGGGCAGAGGCUGGGUCUUCCGAUCGCAUCUCCUUUCUUCAGUGAGAUCCUCUUCUUCUGGAAGCUGGUUUCACAUGGUGGCUUAGAUUUUUCCAUCUUUGUAUCUAGCACCAUUUGAAAUCAGUGUUUUAGGAGUAAGAAUUGCAGCACAGCAAAGGGCCAACCGCAGAGGAGCUGCUGCUUGUGGGACUGGCUCCCCUCCUCCUGCCACCUGAGCUGGUUCAAGAAAGGAAGAACUUGAAAAGCAGAAUACACUGUUGAGUGUGGAGGGGUGACAGUGCAGGGAGGGGUUUGUAUUUGAAAGACAUCCAGUGGUUGGAGCAGGGGCAGAGGUUGCGAUACUCUUUUCUGUUGACAGAUGGCAGCAGCCACCAGUAGUAACCUGUUGGUAGGGCCUUUGAGCACAGCGAUGGGGAAAUGCUGGAUUGAGUACUUGAUUGUACUAGGGAGGGGGAGAGGGCUGUGUACCUGCAGGACUGUUUCAUCCACAUCAGAACUGUCAGCCUGCUCCUAGAUGCCCUGGAACAUUGAGCUGCCGUUGCAGCCCAGCUGAAAUCAGACUUGCCACCUGCACUGUCAAGUGCGGCCCCCCAGGAGCACCACUGGACCCAUCUCUUACACAGGCUGACCGAUUUCUCCUGGUGUUCAGAGUCUGUUUUUGUCUAGCACCAUUUGAAAUCGGUUAUGAUGUAGGGGGAAAAGCAGCAGCCUCGAAGCCUCGUGCCAAGUCUGGUCAGCAACCCCCUGUGGUUUCCUGGAAGAUGGAUGGGCAGAGAGGGGGAAGGAAGAUCACACGUUUUCCUACUAACUUCUUUAACUGCAUUUAUGAUACUUUAUUGCAGAGGUAAGACAGAAUUUAACGGAUUUUUAAAAACAAAUCACUAGAAUGUGUCUGAUGUCCUCAGUUGCAUUUUGCUGAAAUGUGGUGGUGCUGUAAAUUCUAUAAAUUCAUUGGCUGUUGAGUUAUCUUUCUGUGAAGAAGAGUCUCUUCAUGCAUCCUGACCUUAAUAAAUGUUUUGCUGUAUUCAACUUAUUGUGUCUGUUUUUCAUCUCUUAUUUUCCAUUUAUAAUUCUAUGCUGAUGAGAAAGGUCCUGAAAAGUUAAUUUGCUAUGCAGAUCUUACCUACUUCAUAACGAAUUUGAGGUAGUUUACAGCAGACAGACAUUAAAAAUGAAGCCCGUUAAGACAAGAACGAAUUUAUAGGAGCCAAGAAACAAAAGGAGAGAACAGAUUACAGGAGAGAGAAACGUGGAAGACCUGGGCCGAGGGAUGCUCCUUACUGAAUGGGAAAACUGACGUUGGUCGAGACGGGCCGCAGCCCUGGCCCCCCUGCAGUCAGGGUUCCCUCGAGAAACUUGCUUAACUGAACCUACAGUCACGGGGCCCUUGAAUGGGAGCAGCCUGAGGAUUCCAGUUGCGUUAUGAGACGCAGUUCUACUUUCGGCUGUUCGUUUCUAUCGCCCCUUGAAGACAGGGCGGACCCGUUCUGUAGGGGUGUUCAGAGAUGAGCCAGAUUUGACGUUAGAGGGGAUUGAACUUGGGGAAUCUUCAGGGAGGACGGCCGUGGCCCUUGACUGAGCUUUUGGCACAGGAGCUGCAUGGCCAGCUGUGAACUACCUGCAGUACUUUUAUUUCACUCACACGGUUCUCAACAGGUGGUGGCAACUCAACCACCGGGGAAGCUUUUCUAAGUCCACAUCCUGCCAGUCUCCCCCCAGAUGCUGCCCUGCCCUGUGGGGUCGGGGCGGGGGGGAGUGGAGGGGGGGUGGGUAAAGCAUCUGCUGGGAAAACUUCCCGGUGAAUGAGAUGUACCCCAUCUCUGUGGCUGCAGUGCUAUUCCAGGCUGUGGACUGGAGAAUCCAUGUUCUCGUCCCCGGGAUGUGGUGGUGGGAAUAGUUAAGACUAAAUUGUUUUUUCUUCUUCUCUGCUGAGGUCAGCCACGAUAGGACCUAUGGGUUGUAACCAGCUGAACAAUUAUUGAUGCUUCUGCCGUGUCCCAAGCUCCAGCCUGGGUAUUGCAAACACAACAAGUAAGACAAGCAUUCUGCCCGCAGGCAGAGCCGAUUCCAGUCCCCAAAUGAGUAAGUGCUAGAAGAUUGGGUUUAGCAUUAAAGCACAAAAACAAUGAAUUAAAACAUAUUUUCCAUAAAGUAUCUGGUGCUCCCACUGAGUGUUUAAUUUUAAACAGUCCACGUGUCUAGGUCACGAGAAGCAAAGCCCAGGCCCUGAGUAACUGACUGCCUCUCACGCAGGAGCACGUGCUUUAUUCGUGGAGGCUGACAGCCCUUGCCCUCAGUUGCCAUCCGGAGCUUCUUCGUAAUAAAUGGUAAGCAGGAUGUUUCUUCUGGAGACAUCUUGAGUCUGCUUUCAAGGCCAUACUUUCGAUCUGGAUAGAAAACGUAUGGUCAGGCGUGCGUCCGCUUAGCUCCGUUGACCACACAUGUGACUGUAAACGUGGGUGGAGAGGGAGUGUCAGACUGAAGCCACCCUCAAGCCUCAUGCGAGUUGUUCUGGAAACAGUUCCCGUGUGUGGACAGAAAGGCCGAUGAGUUCUUGAUAAACGUGAGGCAAGUCACAUCUUUGACCAUUUAGGUGGAACAGAAUGUGUUGUGUCUGGACCUGGUAAUUCUUCAGGGAAGAUGUUGGCCCAGGCCUGCAUUUUGAGAAGCUGGUGUAGAGUUUCAGGGGGCUUCCUGGCAGACCAGUGCGUCCCUAUUUUGGGGCAGCUGUAGAGUCUUCCUUGACACAAGAAAAGAUAUAUUUGGGGUUUGUCCUACUGCACUCAUGUCCUCCCCACCUUCCAACUAGAUUCUCCCAAGGAGCCUUCCAAUAGUCAUUCUUAGGAAUCCCAGCCCUACAGGCUCUGGCUUAACUGCUCUAGGAUGGGGCCGGGACAUUCCUUUUUUGUUCGAAAGUCUCCCCAGGUGAUUCUAAUGUGCAGCCAGGGUUGAGAGCCGCUCCUCUAUGGAUUUGUUUCUACAAGGCGUUACUGCUCAAUGUGUGGUCUGAGGACCCCUGGCAUCAGUGUAUUAGCUUCCUGUGGCCGCUGUACCAAAUACAACAGACUUGGAGUCUCUCUGAGUCUCUUCAGGUGCUGUACCAAAUACUGCAGGCUGGUCAGCUUAUAAACGACUGCUAUUUCUCCCAGUUCUGGAGGCUGGGAAGUCCAGGUCAAGGUGCUGGCACUCGGUGUCUGUGAGAACCAGCUUUCUGGUUCACAGACAGUGCCUUCCAGCUGUAACUUCAUAUGGCAGGAGGGGUGAAGGGACUUUCUUGGGUCUCUUUUAUAAGGACUCUGAUCCCAAUCAUGAAGGCUCUGUGCUCAAGACCUAAUCACUUCCCAGCGGCCCUACCCCCUACUACUAUCGUCUUGGGGGUUAGGAUUUCAACAUUGGAGUUUGAGGGCACACAGACAUUCACACCAUGACAGUAUCUCACAACAACACACACACAGUUCUGGAGGUCAGAAGUCCAAAAUCAGUUCCAAUGGGCUGAAAUUAAGGUAUAGGGGCUCCCUCCAGAGGUCACAGGAUAGAAUCAGUUUCCUCGCCUUUUCCAGCUUCCAGAGCUGCAGUCUUUGGCUUGUGGCCCCUUCCUCCGUCCUCAAGAUCAGCAGCAUAGUGUUUUUGCUUUAGUGGUCACAUUGCCUUCUGCGGUACUCAGAUCUCCCUCUGCCUGCCUCUUAGGAGGAUACUUGUGAUUGCUUUAGAGCCCCACCUGAAUAAUCCAGGAUCAUCUCUCCAUCUAAGAUCUCUUCUGUAAAAGAUCUUCUGCCAUAGAAGGUAACAUUCACAGGUUCCAGGUAUCAGGACUCAGAUUUCUCUGGAGGAUAUUAGACAGCCAAACAACCACCAGCAUGGUGUGGAACUAGAAAUGCAGAACCUUGGUCCCCACCUGAGACCUGCUGGAUCAGAACCUGCAUUUUAACAAGAUCACCAUGUGAUUCACUUGCACACUAUGGGAUCCAUCCCAAGGAAUUCUCUAAUUAUUGACUCCCAUGUCAAAUACAAAUUAAAGGUGUAUUUUCUCUAGGAGCCUUUUUAGGUCACAGUGGAUGAUUAUAGGUGACUGAUCCUUUUCUCCAACAUUAUAAAUAAGUGCUCAUCCAAAUGACAGUGGUCUCCAGAAUUCUGAGUGAAGCCCCAAGCCCUAAGCACCAGGCUGUCAGAGCUCCUCUUUCUGAUAGUUCAGCACGAGGCUUUCCACUGGGACAUACAACACUUCAGUUCUUUAAAACCUGCAUAAGCAAGGUAAAUUCUGUAAACCUAGGUGGCUUCUCCUGUUAACAUCAGUUUUACCACCCCCAUACAGGUUUUCUUGGGCUGGCAAGUCAGGAAUAUGGGUGGGUAACUCUCAAUGUUAUCUAUACUGUGGCAAUUUGUUCACCUUCUCGUAUGAAAGGGACAAUAGCUGAAGGAAUAGCUGAAGGAAAGAUAGCUUGUUGACCACAGUCUCCGAUGUUACACUUCUCUCAUAUUUAAGCAAUAAGAGACAGAGUUUUGCCGUUUUUAAAAUGCUAAUUUCACAGAAGGAAAGCAGAAAAGAGCUAGUUACUACUAGAUCUAAAAUGAAAUUAAAAAUGGCUCUGGGGGGCCAGCCCGAUGGCGCAGCGGUUAAGUUCGCACGUUCCACUUCUCGGCGGCCCGGGGUUUGCCGGUUCGCAUGCCGGGUGCGGACAUGGCACUGCUUGGCACACCAUGCUGUGGUAGGCGCCCCACAUAUAAAGCAGAGGAAGAUGGGCACGGGUUAGCUCAGUGCCAGGCUUCCUCAGCAAAAAGGAGGACUGGCAGUAGUUAGCUCAGGGCUAAUCUUCCUCAGGAAAAAAAAAAAAAAAAAGGCUCUGGGAAUCAGAGCAAUGACAAACUUCUGAAUGACUAAGGAAGGGACUGUGAAGUGCCCAAAUAGUCCACAGGAGGGCAGCAGAGCUAUGUUUAUAAAGACCAUUUUGGUGAAAUAUUUUCUGAAUCAGACUGGAAAUGAUGAACCCAAUGCAGCUUAGGAAAAAAAAUCUGUGAUCACUCAAUUUCACAUUGUUUCUGGAAGACAGCAGACUAUAUCAGAUCCUGCUCUUGAGCACAAAUAUGCAAACUUUUUAUAUAUGCAAAAAAUUCCAUGAUUACAAUGCUGUCAGGCAUCGCUAAAGUUUUAGAGUUGCCUAUUUUCCUUAAACCUAGAAUCUACUUUAACGAUGCAAAUUCCAAUUCCGGCCUAUCCCAGGUCUCUUCAACAUUCUUUUAUUGUUAGUCACCUUAAAAGCUCUUCCUAUAUAUUUUAUGCCAAUUUAAAAACUAUUCUAUAGUCUCAAGUUAAGGCCAAAUAAAAUUUGAUAAUCUGCUGUAUUUUUACUCAACCUUUCAUACAGCCUUGAUAUUAGAAAGAUUGCUUCUGUUUUUUAAAUGACAGUUAGCCUUGUAUGGUUAUCCAGGCAACAAGACCUUAAUUCAAGUCUUAGACAUCUUCCGAUUUCUUGAAUGGGCUGAAAUAGUAAAACUACAAUUUUCUUUUGUCAAUAUAAGCCCUUAUAUCUGUCUUUAUAAGUUUUUAUGUAGAAACGGGCUGUGGGG
rnacentral:lncRNA from 1 species